rnacentral:lncRNA from 1 species
CCUUCUCCCUCCAUUGUUGCAGCCACCAAAACCCUAGCCGCCCCCCCCCCCAAUCCCCUCCUCCCUAGGUGCUACUCCGUGCCGCUCGGAUCAUCGUCUUUUGGUGCGAAUCUCCAAUCGUUUUGGUGGAAGGAAGAAGGGAGGAAGGAAAAGGGGAGAACCCAAGGUGAUUUUUCUUUUGUGUUCAUCCCUUGUUCAUUUGCGCUGCGAUUCAAUUGAUUAGAUGUUGCGUUUGCGAUUAGAUGGGGGGGGCUGUCCAGAAUUUUGCGUGGUGGAUGAACAGCGGUAGUUCCAGCAGUUUUUAGUUUUUUUUCGUGAAGAUUUAAUGGGGAUCAAUUUGGGAAUCUUGUAGAACUUUGUUUUAUCUUUCCAACGAGUAUUUAUGCGCUCAAUUUGGAGUUAUAAAUUAAAAGUUAUCAUCGUUUGAAUCCGGGUAUGUGGCUGUCCAGAAAACAGAUUUUUCAGAGUGAUGAACAGCAGCAGUGUUAGCAGUUUCUGGGGAUUUUUCGGGAGCAAUUAGUGUUAAUCAGUAUGAGAAUCUUGUAGCACUUUGUUUUAUCUUUCCAACGAGUAUUUAUGCGCUCAAUUUGGAGUUAUAAAUUAAAAGUUAUCAUCGUUUGAAUCCGGGUAUGUGGCUGUCCAGAAAACAGAUUUUUCAGAGUGAUGAACAGCAGCAGUGUUAGCAGUUUCUGGGGAUGUUUCGGGAGUAAUUAGUGUUAAUCAGUAUGAGAAUCAUGUAGGGCUUUUUCUUAUCUUUCCAACAAGUACUUAUGCGCUCAAAUCGGAAUUAUAUUUUAAAAGUUAUCGCUGUUUGAAUCCGCGUAUGUCGCUGCUCAAAUAAAAAAAAACAGAUUGCAGGGUUUAUUUUGAGGACAGUUUAGAGGUAAGUAGAUGUUAGAAUUCAAUCAUGAGUUGUAUACAAAACUUGUGGGGAAUUUUAUGUAGUUGUCUCUGAAGUUUUUGUUUAUCAUCACUGCUGUCCUAAAUUUUAAGUUAUGGAAUUGUUAAGCAGCGCCGCUGCAGUUUGGUUAGUGAGGGGAGAGUUGUUACCGCGGCGGGGUUUGAAAUUGCGCGUAGGUGCGGUGUUGUCUUUGAGUUUUUUUUCAUGAGAAUUUGGUGCACUAAGUUGGGUGUCAAAAACAGGUGGUGGACUUCCGGAUCGUUCUUAGGGAUUUUGCCCGAACUUCGGUAGAGGCAAGUAAAACGGUGAUGGUUAUUUCGUCUUUUGAUUGAAGAGGCUCAUACUUGAUUAUGUUUGUGCUAUUUGUGUUCGUAUCCAUAUUCCUAAUUGGGUACCAUCGUUUGAAAUUAUUCAUGCUUUAUUGAUUAUACAUGUGGAGGGUGUGGUUUGAUCAUGUUACCCAUGUGGUUAUUGAUGUGAAAUGGGUGGAAGUAUAUGUCUAGCACAUUUUAUUUGGGAAGAACUCAUGUUGUUGACAUGCAUAAUGCAUUCAUCAUCCAUUGCAUUGAAGUUUUCGUCGCGAUCUUAUGGUCCGACCGUACCGGUACAAUGAGCAUCAUAUGUUUCCCGAGAAGGGGUAUGAUGCAGCUUCAUAUCCUUAGAGGUAUGAAGGCAGAAGUCAUGUUGCAUCUGUAGCCAUGUGCAUUCAUGGGUGAAGUGUGGAACCUAUUUUGGUGAUGUGGAUAAGGUGGAUCUUUACUUUGUAAUUCAUCUUGGCAUUGAGUAAUUGAUUACUUGCUUACUUGCUGCAAAUUAAUAUUUAAGGAAGAAGUUGGGAACCAUGUGGUUGCUUAUGCAUGGUUGGCCUGCAUUGUCCAACUGUUGUUUGUUCUUUUAACUUGCUGAGAUGUGUCAUCUCACUCUUGCAUUGUCUGAUGCAGGCACCUGAUCUUUGCUUUGGGAAAGAAGGGAUGUAGCAGCACGGCCACCACACUUUUAAAUAAAGGAAUAACUGUUUAUUAAUGAUGUUAAACAGGAAGGGUCAAGUCUAGGGAAUUACUACAUUCUAAUCUUUCAUGGUAGUUGAACUGUUUAGUUUGGUGGGCUGAGAUGUCUAUCUUUUGUCUGGUCAUGAAUGUUCUUUUCUACCGUUGCAUUUUGAUUAUACUAUGGCAAUUAUCUUUCUUUUAUAUCCUGUAUAAACUAUAUGCUUCCCUUGUUAUGCUACUUUCAAGGGAGGUGCUGCCGGAUUUUGCAGUACUUUAUUUCUCUAUGUGUUGCAUGAGUCUUGUAGAAAGGUUUUUUUUGGUAUCAUCCAUUGUGUGGGAUCAGUGGGG